rnacentral:lncRNA from 1 species
UUAGGAAAACGGGCACACAGUCUUCUUUUCUUGCAUCGCUGUCAGUUGAACUGGUCCUUGUUGAACGAUUUUGCUCUCAAGUACACAGUAGUUUGACCUCCAUCCUAUGAUUUUCUGCUGCAUCUGUCUUUGCCAGUGAUGUGUGCUGUUGUGUUUCUUAGGCAUAUACUACUGUUAAAUUCACUUGUUUUAUAUUCUUUAAAUCAUGAACUAAAACUAUUAACACUGAAGUUUAUUAUAGAAAAUACUUUUCUCUUUCUUAUAUUUUUUGAUGAUUGUUUUGCUUGGUUAAAUUACAGCUAACUAUUUUCUUCUUAUACUCUUUGUUUUGUGUAUUAUGCAGUUCGUAUGAACUAUCAUUUGUUCAUUUACUAUUAAUAGAAAUGCAUUCUUUUGUUUUCAUUAAUUACCUUGUGUUUAAUUAAUGAAUCUUGUAUUAACUGAUUUGUUUUUAAUUUACUUUUGGAAAUAGUUGUCCUCUAAGAACUUUCUGUUGCACUGGUUUGUUUCUCAUUAAUAGUCUUAUGAUAUGCUUACUUGUCUUAAAAUGUUAUUUUUUCCUCUCAAUAUUUAAUGAUAACUUUCAUAAAUUUAAUAAUCUUUGAUACCACUUAUUUUCUUUCAGGUGUUAAAAUGGUUUGAUCUUUGCUCUCUUGAAUUGUAGGGUUGAUUGUAAGACCCCUGUUGUUAUUCUCAUGCUUGACUUUGUAGUUAGUUUAGCAUUUUCCCAUAUAAUUUUUAGUACUGUUCAUUAUAUGUCCUCCAUGUUCUAUUUUUAACUUGUUCCUCAUACUGUUUCUUUUAUUUACCUUCGUCUUCAUUGAUCAUGGGCUUAAUUUCUGCACUUACAUUUAGGAAAGAAACUGAUUAGUUUGUGAUUAAUUUCUUACCAAUUUUCUUGAAGCUUGAAUGAGGUUCCAUCUCACCUUUUAGUCUAUAGCGUUUAAAUAUUUGGCUCCCAGUUCAUGACAAUUCUGAGUAGGAUCAGGGGCUGUGUCUCUGCUGGAGGAAGUAUGUAGUUGGAAUUUGAGGUUUCAAAAACCUGUCAUCAUUCAUAGUUUGCCCACUCUGCUUUCUGCUUGCAGUUUAGAAUGUGGGUUUAUAGCUGUUCCUGCACCAUGCCUCCCUGUUCCUGGGCUUACUUGUGAUAAAUAUCACUUGUGAUAGUGGUGGAUUCAUAUCCCAUAUCUCUCUAGAAUUGUAUCACCAAAGUGAACCUCCUCCUCUUCCUCCUCCUCCUCUUCCUCCUCCUGCUCCUCCACUUCUUCUUCUUUCUGCUCCUCCUCUUCUAUUGCGUCCUGCUCGACCGGCAAGAAAGACACAACAAACCAGAAUCUUCCGCGGCAAGAGCUUUAUUGCUUGCUUCUUCAGGAAGACCCCGAACCGGGAAAAUGGUGCUGCUUUUAUAAUCCGCAGCAUGACGUUUCAGCACCUGAUAUGGCGUGACAGCUCCUGAUUCAUUGCUUGCCCAUCACCCCACUAUUACACCCCGAGAAUGGGAGUGACUAGGAGUGAAUUCACUCUCGCACCUGCGUACAAGGCUUGUUUACUAGUUAGGCACAGCAGAGGCCUAUAAUGGCGAUUGCUCGCGGCACACAUGGCUCUCCUCAGAGAUUACUGGCGGCACGCAUUCGAUUGCUCGCAGCACGUACCGGCUCUCCACACUCUUCCAUCUUUGCUUUUCAUAAGCUGCCAUUGUCUUGUUGUUGUAUUAGAGCAACAAAAAUAUUAGACAAUAAUACCUUGUAGGAAAGAACUUGUGUAGUUUACUUCUGUCUCUGAGAAAAUGCAGAGACCAUGACACUAAGAUAAUAACUAAGAAUGUAAUUUACAAUGGUUUGGGGAAUAGAUCAUUAAUAAUCAAGUAGCAAGCUAUGAAGUGAAUUGGAAAAGAGGAAAGUAGGUAAAAUGUGAACAAAGUAGAUGAUAUAUGGGUUAGAAAUAUUAUAAAUAAUAGAAAAAGUAUUGCAGAGUCAGUGGGUGAAAUGGAAACUCUACUAGCCUAUUCAGGCUAAGAUACAAACUAAAAAAACAAAAUAAAAACAAACAAACAAAACCAAAACAAAACAAAAAAGC